rnacentral:rRNA from 1 species
GACGAACGCUGGCGGCGCGCCUAACACAUGCAAGUCGAACGGAGUCAAGAGGAGCUUGCUUUUCUUGACUUAGUGGCGAACGGGUGAGUAACGCGUGAGUAACCUGCCCUGGAGUGGGGGACAACAGUUGGAAACGACUGCUAAUACCGCAUAAGCCCACGGAUCUGCAUGGAUCUGCGGAAAAAGGAUUUAUUCGCUCUAGGAUGGACUCACGUCCAAUUAGCUAGUUGGUGAGGUAACGGCCCACCAAGGCGACGAUUGGUAGCCGGACUGAGAGGUUGAACGGCCACAUUGGGACUGAGACACGGCCCAGACUCCUACGGGAGGCAGCAGUGGGGGAUAUUGCACAAUGGGGGAAACCCUGAUGCAGCGACGCCGCGUGGAGGAAGAAGGUUUUCGGAUUGUAAACUCCUGUCGUUAGGGACGAUAAUGACGGUACCUAACAAGAAAGCACCAGCUAACUACGUG